UACGUAGGGGGCUAGCGUUGUCCGGAAUCAUUGGGCGUAAAGCGCGUGUAGGCGGUCCGGUAAGUCCGCUGUGAAAGCCAGGGGCUCAACCCUUGGAUGCCGGUGGAUACUGUCGGGCUUGAGUACGGAAGAGGCGAGUGGAAUUCCGUGGUGUAGCGGUGAAAUGCGCAGAUAUCAGGAGGAACACCGGUGGUGUAAACGGCUUCUGACCAUAACUGACGCUGAGGCACGAAAGCGUGGGUAGCAAACAGGA
rnacentral:rRNA from 1 species